CAUGGUCUUGUAGCAGAUGCGAGCUUCAACUGGAAGCCAGUGGAGUGUGCGGAGGAGCGGGGUGACGUGAGAGGACUUGGGAAGGUGAACAGAGGGGAGAGGUGCGCUUGUGAAGUUGGAAAACAUUUUGUGUACGUUUUUUUUUACCCGAAUUGGUUUUAACUGCACUCUACUUUACUUACCUUAACAAAAUAAGAUGUAUAGUUGAAUAUUUUAGAAAUGAGUCGUCUCAAUUCGCUUGCUGCUUGGCUGUAUUGACGAAGGUUCCAGUGCCACUGGCAGUGGCUUCGGGAGCUGCUUGGGUUCGUCGGAUCGGGAGCUGGAGAGGACAGUUUAGUCUGAGGUCAUUUAAGGGCUUCGGGGACACUGGACAUCGUUUUUCGGAUGCAUGCAGGGCACUUUCUGCCUAUUGGAUUAUAAAUAGUCAACUGUUGGUUUCAAGGGCUUUCUACCGUGAUAACUGUGGGGUUAGACUGUUUGUUUUUAUAGCUCCAACGGCGCCAACGAACAUUUUCAGUUUAGCACCCGGGUUUAGGUUAUCUUAAAAUAUUAUUGUAUUGUGUGUAUUGCCAAUUGUUUGCAAGUGGAUCAUUCAUUAUUCAUUCUUUUUAUAUACACAUUCUAUCUGUAGAUAUCCAGGCUCAAAGCAUCAGUCCACCAGCUGAACACUCAGUCAGACUGGUGAAUGGGACCACUUCCUGUUCUGGGACAGUGGAAGCCUUUUAUAA